ensembl:lncRNA
UUCACUGUUGGGAGGACUUAAUAGUUUUUACAGUUUCUUACAGUGUCAUUACAGGGUGUCUGAGCGGCUGCUGCAUCUGAAGUCACUGGAGGUCAGGGCAGUGAUCCUGGAGGGGUUGUUCCAGGGCAUGCUUCCAUAAUUCACAGCUUAUAACAGAAAGCAGCAAAGCAAAGUAUUCUUUAAGGUAUUGGCUGGAGCAUGGUGUGUCAGGGUUAGGGAUCUGUGACACAGAAGCAGCCUUCUCUGCAAAGGAUCUGGAUCAGAUGAAUCAGCCUCUAGCCCUCUUCCAUUCUCUGAGUCAGUCGUGUGCUCGUGAAGAGGCUCUACACUUUGGCAGAUUCACCUUCCUUUCCUUCAACGCCAGCAUGUCAUGCUCUGGCCUCAAUUCUACAGCCACACCUCCUAUAGCUUUCCUGCGCUCAUGGGCCUGCGUUCACUUCCUGAACCUGUUUAAUUUGGGUUCUGAACCUCACACUCUGGAUCCAGACUGGGCUCCCAGCUUACCUGUAACCAGCACAGAUCUUGACCGAUUUGGCCCCAUGUCUCUAAGGUCAAUAAAAAUGCAGCCACACGAGGCCAUUGUAAUAAAACUGCUUGAAUCUGACAACUCUUAAGACAAG